UUCUAAGUAUUCGAGUCCAGUGAGUGAGCGGCGCGAGCUCUAGGGUUAGGGUUUUAUGGGGAAGGAGAGGGCGAAAUGGGGACGAGGGAUCCCUUCGUCGUAGUACGCCUACCUCUUCCGACUCGUCGGGGUCGUCAAUGUCGCGGAGGAAUCGAUCAUAAUCUCGCAAUGAAGAUAAUGGACAAGUUUUAUCCAGCUCCGGGGAUUUCGGUCAACUUCUUUGGCCUAGAACACAUGAUGUCGACUAAUAAUAUCGCCAUAUGACCUUACAUGUAGUCAUGUAGUCAAUUGGAGGCAUUAUUAGUCUACAUUAUGGUGUGGCAAUGACUAAUCUCUAAUUCUCUAUUUCUUACCGGCAUAACAUAUAAAGUUUGCUCUUCGAAAGAAAUGCAAUUAUAUAGGCUUGAGGCGCGUCUGGCUCUACUGUGGAGUGUAGUGCUGUUUGAUGGAGUGUCGUCUUCGAAGUGUCAUUAUGAAAAGCAGUGUGUUAAGUUCCUUCAACAGUUGAAUUAGAAGUUUCAAAUUGAAGCUCCGUUUUUUGGAUCAAGUAGAAAUUGCUGGUUUUUCUGUUGUCAAUGAUUCGAUCGACAAUCGUAUGUAUGUAUGUAUAUAUAUAUAUAUACUAUUUUCACUCCUUAGAUUAUGCUAUUUCACUAA